GUGAGGAGGUACUCUCUAUCAUUACGGGUUGGCAUGCAGGGACUACUCUAGUUGGUGAUAUGAUAUGCAAUGCUACUAUUGAACCCUAAUCUACCAAAUGCAAUGCAAGACAACCUACUAAUGCAAUCUAUUAUGAAUUCGGAAAUCAGCAAAUUUUCACAAAAGUAACUUAAAAUUAAAUGUUACUAAUUUGUACUUUGGUUAUUUCAGAAUUAAAGUAGUAAAUUAGUCACUAUAAGAAAUUAGAUUGCAAACACGUUUUACGGUCAUUCAAAGUCCGAAAGUAAUCUGAUCUAUGGAUGAUGAGAACUAUCCUGUCGCUAAGGCGUGCUAAUUUAAUAUUUAGAUUUAAAUGGUGGGUAGGAUGAGUGUGGUGGUAAAUGUUCUAGGUUUUGCAAUUUGACAAAAAAUAAGUUUCAAAAUAGGACUGUCAUGCAAGAGAACUAGAACAUAAUUAGAUAAACAAGUCCAGAAGAAAGGAGAACCUGUUACUUGUGGCGGAUGCAGUCGACCGGAAGCGUCCGUUGUAAAUUCUCGAACACGAAAUUGGUGCCGGGUGGAGCUAGCUGGAGCGAUGGGCCUGGAUCUGUAGCACAAGGGCUCUCGGACUUCUGUACUGGGCUGAAAAGAGGUGCUGGAUCGGGUUUGAAAUAGGACCUGCAGCCGAUUGGGCUUGGGCUCAAAGGGCUGGCGGCCUUGUGGGUUUGGGGUUCAGAAAGGGGCAGACUCUUGCUGUGUGGGCUUGGGAUCAAGAGUGAAAAGAAUAACAGGCAUGCGGGCCGUGGGCUUGAAGAGGGGUUGUGGGUCUGUUGACGGUCCACGGGUGGAGUCAGCUUGAGAGAAAAGGGGAA
rnacentral:lncRNA from 1 species